CCUUGACAGCAGGCAGAGGGUGUGUGGUGGUGAAGUCCCCUUGGGUCCCCCAGCUGAAAGACAGAAGACUCCGAAGGUCAGUUUCCAUGACACCCCACAACACCAGAGACUUCAUCACCUUGGAACAUUAUGAACUGCUACACCUCAAAAGCUGAAUUUGGCAGGAUUUGAAGAUCACAAUCAACACUCACCUUGUCACACAAAGUGACUUAGUGGCUGCAAAACAGAAGGAUGCCAGAGACUUGCUCAAAUCGGGCCAUCCUGCAUCGCCUGUCAAAACACUCUACGACUGGGGCGCGGCACACAUCUGACCCUGGCGGUCCCAAAUGAACUACUCGUGCCACGCAUGGAGAGAAAAAAAAAAAAAGUGACAGCAAACACAAGCUGCUAUGGCCUGGCUCAAAUGUGUGCAUGCUCUUCUGAAUUUGUUGGAUGGAUGGAUGGAUGGAUGGAUGGAUGGAUGGAUGGAUGGAUGGAUGGAUGGA